rnacentral:rRNA from 1 species
AACGAACGCUGGCGGCAUGCCUAACACAUGCAAGUCGAACGAGACCUUCGGGUCUAGUGGCGCACGGGUGCGUAACGCGUGGGAACCUGCCUUUAGGUUCGGAAUAACUCAGAGAAAUUUGAGCUAAUACCGGAUGAUGUCUUCGGACCAAAGAUUUAUCGCCUUUAGAUGGGCCCGCGUUGGAUUAGCUAGUUGGUGGGGUAAAGGCCUACCAAGGCGACGAUCCAUAGCUGGUCUGAGAGGAUGAUCAGCCACACUGGGACUGAGACACGGCCCAGACUCCUACGGGAGGCAGCAGUGGGGAAUAUUGGACAAUGGGCGAAAGCCUGAUCCAGCAAUGCCGCGUGAGUGAUGAAGGCCUUAGGGUUGAAAAGCUCUUUUACCCGAGAUGAUAAUGACAGUAUCGGGAGAAUAAGCUCCGGCUAACUCCGU